GAGGACACUUCUUAGGAAUAGUGCCUAACCAAGAUACUAACUAGGGUACUGUUCAUCGGGUUCGCUCCUCGACCAUGGUAAGGAAUAUCGGUCCUUCGGUUCUUCUUUUAUUGAUUUUUAAUUUUUUUUCAUCAUGAUUUUUAUUCCUGAUUUAAAAUGAUAUGUUUACACCAUAGAGUGCGGACGUAUAAAAGAUAAAAAAAAAUAUUUUCUGAUUGUAAUUUGUUGUUAUAUUGGAAAUUUAUGCUAUUUUUCGCUAUUGUGUAUAGCAACAACGUAUUCGCUUAUUUGAUUCUAACAUUUUUGGACCAAACUGCCCUGCAUACUGUUUCUAUAGUUAAAAAUUUUGAUUUUAAGAUUUUUGAACGAAACCGCCCCUGCAUAUUGUUUUUAAACUUUAAAAAAAUUGUUUUUAACAGUUUUAGACCAAACUGUCCCUGCAUACUAAUUUUAUAGUUAUUUUUUUUUUAUCUUAACAGUUUUGGACGAAAAUGCCCUUGCAUAAUGUUUUUAUACUUAAAAAAAUUUUUGAAUGUAACAAUUUUGGAUGACACAACACUUACAUAUCGUUUUUAUAGUUAAUCUUUUAUUGAUUUCAACGGUUUUGAACUCAAAUUGAUGUUGAAAAUGCAAUAAAUAGCAACGAGCUUUGAAUUUACACAUUUUUUUUUGUUUUUUUUUUUUUGUAAUUUCUUUUAUUUAUUUUUUUUCCAAAAACCAAACUACAUUGCUAUUAGGUGCAUUUUCCAUUUUUACAAGUAAAAUGACCCAAAUGGCAACAUACUUUCAAUUUAUAUUUCUUUCUUUUCCAUUUUUACGAGUGAAAUGCCCCAAGUGCAUUCUCAUUUAGGAAAGAAGAACCAUCGAUACACCAGUCGUCGGAUUUAAUCUCCGAUUUCACAACUUCACCAUUCUUUAAGUUCUUCGCUGGAAUACCUACAUGAAUCUACAUGUGAAGAAUGAAGUUUUUUUUAUGUGAAUUUGUCACCCCCAUUUUUCGUUCAUUUGUAGUAUUACCAGGGGUAGCUGUUGCCUGGAAAGCUGCAAACGUCAAAACUGGAACUACAGUGGUUCUAUUUAGACUACGUACAAUUACGGAAGCUGUAUGAUUCUUAUGAACUUAUAUAAAUGAUUCUUAUGAACUUAUAUAAAGAUACGACUUUAAAAGGGCCCAUAACAAUAAAGUGGGACAACAUAUGUUUUUUUAAAUUGACUUGCCCGAUCACAAUACUCAAACUAUAAACAAAUAGUUGAUGAAACGACAAUUACAAAGAACAAACAACGGAAAAAAUGAUCGCAUCCGACCCUCGCAACGCGGGGGUC